rnacentral:tRNA from 1 species
GGGAAGGUGGCUCAGUGGUAGAGUGCUUGCCUUGCAUGCAUGAGGCCCUGGGUUCGAUUCCUCCCCA